ACGGGAGGCAGCAGUGGGGAAUAUUGGACAAUGGAGGAAACUCUGAUGCAGCGACGCCGCGUGAGUGAAGAAGUAUUUCGGUAUGUAAAGCUCUAUCAGCAGGGAAGAUAGUGACGGUACCUGACUAAGAAGCCCCGGCUAACUACGUGCCAGCAGCCGCGGUAAUACGUAGGGGGCAAGCGUUAUCCGGAUUUACUGGGUGUAAAGGGAGCGUAGACGGCAAGGCAAGUCUGAUGUGAAAUCCCAGGGCUCAACCCUGGAGCUGCAUUGGAAACUAUCUAGCUAGAGUGCAGGAGAGGUAAGUGGAAUUCCUAGUGUAGCGGUGAAAUGCGUAGAUAUUAGGAGGAACACCAGUGGCGAAGGCGGCUUACUGGACUGUAACUGACGUUGAGGCUCGAAAGCGUGGGGAGCAAACAGGAUUAGAUACCCUGGUA
rnacentral:rRNA from 1 species